AGGGCUCUGCCUUCCCAGGGAUCAUGGGCUGGCAGGGGUGGCCGGGCAAAGCCAAGGUGGGAGGGCGGUCCAGCUCUAUCUGGUUCACCCCACCUUGUCCCCAGCAGAAGAGAGAAAGAGAGAGAGAGAGAGAUCAGGUGUGUUUACCUGAGCCAGGGGAGAGGCUUUGGAAAUACCUGUCUCCGGGCCACGAAGAGGAAGAAUGUCACCUCUCACCAUUAGUGUGAUUCAUUGCUGUCACAGCUGAACUCCAGGGGGGCAGAGACAGCCAGCUCAAGCCAACCGGUUGUUGAUUUUAUGGAGCCGGCUCCAGCCCUGCGCCUGCUUGCACAAUAAUGGGGCACCUGCCAAGGCAGGGAUGUCAGAGCAGGUGAUGCUGGAUGGGACAUCAUGGAGGACGUGGGCUGGUCGGGGCUGUUGCGGGGAGGGUCUCCCGCACUGCUCAGAGGAGUGGGAUCCGGCCUCAGAGCCAGGCUCAGAGGCAGGCCGGUGGAGGAGGAGGAGGCUCAGGACAUUCUCUGGCAUUCCCCUCUUCUCUCUAGCUGUGUGAGCUCAGGCAGACGCCGGUGCCUCUGUCACUGUCUUCGCAAAAUGAAAGGCUUCCUAGCCAUAGGGGUGGCCCUUCCGUGAGACCUGGGCCUGAGCUCUGACUUGCCUCCCUAACACUGCCGUUUCCUCCUCUGUGAGAUGGGGACCAUAAAACCUGCUUGGCUGAGUCACUGGAAGGAACAGAGCAGAUCAAGGAGGCAGAAGCUCUUCAGAACUAUCGAGAACCAUGAAGCGGACGGAACUGUUACCGAGGAGGGAUUUCUGGCCACCAGGCUGACAUUUAACAGACACCAAGAGCUGAGGCCUGGCACAGGCCAGACUCGGCCAAAAAAAGGACAAAGAUGAUUAUAAAGCCAGAUAUGAGCCAUCUGGGCCAUGCCCGUGUAAUCCAGAAGGUUGUGGAGGAAAGGCAGGAGCAGAGAGGGUGGGCUUGCUCCUGGAGGUCUUCCUGGAGGUGGUGAGCCUGGAGCUAUUUUUCAGAGAUAAGGGGGAAUGGGGUUACCAGGAGGUGAAGACUGCAGGUGGGGAGAAUAGCCUCUAGUCUAGGUCAAGCCCAGACUUGAGUUCUGAGAAAAGUCAAGAAUGCAUUUCUCUCCAGGGUAUUCACUGUGGGAGAGGUGGGUCAAACAGGUUUGCCCUCGUCACCAGCUGUAGAAACAGAAGUGGACGUCCCCAUCCCCUGCCAGCUCAGGGAGCAGAAAGCUUCGGUGACCUUGACUCUCACAGUACAUUGCCCUUUGGCAGCUCCCACGACCUGUGUGCCCCACGGCUCAGGUCAUCUUGAAGCCAAGGCUUAAGGAAUGGACCCUCCAGGACCCACCUCCCUUGGCCUCGCCUUAUAAGACCCCGGUGACCCUGGCGUCUGAGGCUACAGCAGGAGACAGGAACCCACACUCCUUGGGGUUCAGGAACUCUGGGCAGCACAGAUGGGUCCUGGGAGCUGCCACCUUCCUUGCCAAGGGGCCGUGCAUGCCAUGCAGCUGAAGACCGACCCCAGCCCGGAAACAGAGCUUUCUAGCGGUUUCUGGCUUCUUUCCAGCUGGGAGCCAACACCAGGAGGAUUGGCUGGGGACCUCGAGGCCGGGGCUGCGCACUCUGACGUGCAGCCCCUAGACACGCAGGGACGGUGGAGCUGGAGAACCCCAUCUUGGGAAGGCUGGUGGAGGGGGAGCCCCAGGCGGAGAGUGCUCAGCUGAUGCUCCAGCGUGCCACCUCCUUAUCUUACCAUCUCCAGAGAGACCACCCAGACUCCUGCCCUGAGACUGAAGAUUCAGGGCACGGGUGGAAGGCUGCCUGGGGAAGACAAGGGAGACUGAGGCAUGGCGACCAAGGACGUUGUCCCACUGGGUGUGACAGUGCUAGAAGAGGGACCUGGGACUCGGGGCUACCUCUUCAUACCUCCCGAAGAUCGCCUUGAUCUGUGGGGCUGGGGAGGAAGGCAGUGGAUGGCUGGAAGGCCCCUCUGGCUCCAGCCUGGAAUACUCAGACGAAGGGAGGGAGGCUGGGAGGUCUUUGCCUGCCCUGGAACCUUUCCGGGACUCCCACCCCCUUUGGCUCCGUAUCCCGAGAAUGACGAAAAGAAAUGCAGCUGACCCCGACCCCAGCAGCGACCAGCAAUGCUGUGUAGGUGUCGCAAAGGGGUGGGAAGGAAGGCUGGAGGUCCUGGGGCUGGGGCGGCUGGCAGAGAUUGUGCUGAGGGGCAGGAGGGGGAGGGGCUCUGGGAGCCUGCUUCAGGGACCAUCUUGGCAGGGGACUGAGCCCGGGGCAGGGAUUCCAGUGAGCGUGCUUGCCUCCUGAAAGGCCAUUUCAGGGGAGGAUAGCGAAGCGACCAUUUAUUAGGGCUUUCUUUGGUCAGGCCUUUUACCCACAUCCUCUCAAUUCCUACAACGACCACGCAAGGUAGGUGCUGCCACCCCAUUUUACAGACGGGAAGAAGGAGACCCGGAGACGUGACCUUCCCCCAAGCAUCACAGAGUCCACAGUGAAGAGCGGGGGUGCAAAGGGGCUCGAUCGAGCGUGGCGCGGACCGCUGACCGCAGGCGGAAGGAGCCGGGGGCUCCCUGAUGAAGAGCAGGGCGUCUCAGAGGGGGACUUCCCUGUCCGCAGUGUCAGCCAGGCCGAUGACCUCAGCUGGAGGCGGACGAGAAGUCUGAGGGAGGACUUGGGUGUGAGCAAGAAAGGGUGGACCUUCCUGACUCGGCCUCGGCCUUCCCCGGAGAGGAGAAAUAAACAGUGUCAUCAAAAUCGCCCGCAGGGCUCCGGGCGGAGAGCUGGGGGUGGGAUGUCCCCGAGGAGGACUCCCGGGGGAGGUGCUGGCAAGGUGUGGGGGUUGCUGGCCACCCACUGUCUCUCCGUGGGGGCUCCCUAGUUCCUGCCGCCUCUUACAGAGCAAGUGAUUUCAGAGAAGGAGGCUGCGGUAGGCAAGGUCAGGGCCCGCCUGUGCCCCUAGAGAAAGGAUUUCACCUCUGGGACUUACUCAUUCGCUGAACAAAGCCAGGGGCCCGCCACAGGCCAGGUCCUUUUCUAAGCACUGGGAAUUGACGAAUGAACACAGCAAACAAAAAUCCUCGCUCUCCAGGGGCGCCUGGGUGGCUCAGUCGGUGGAGCGUCCGACUUCGGCUCAGGUCAUGAUCUCACGAUUCGUGGGUUCGAGCCCCGGGUCGGGCUCUGUGCUGACAGCUCGGAGCCUGGAGCCUGCUUCAGAUUCUGUGCCUCCCUCUCUCUCUGCCCCAAUCCACUCGCAUUCUGUCUCUGUGUCUCUCAAAAAUAAACAUUAAAAAAAAAAUCCUUGCUCCCCUGGAGCUCAACUUGUAGCUGGAAGAAAGACCAGAAAACGAUGAGGAAAAAAAUUGGUAACUCACCAGAUAUGGUAAGUGCCAGAGAGAAACAAAACAAAACAACUAAGAAGGGAUUUGAGAUGUUGCAGAGGGUAGGUGUGAAAUUUUAUUAUUUUUAUUUUUAUUUUAUUUUUAAUAUAUGUAUUUUUGAGCUUUAUUUAUCUAUUUUGAGAGACAGAGAAAGAGCACGAGCAGAGGAGGGGCAGAGAGAGGGAGCGAGAAUCCCAAGCAGGC